rnacentral:rRNA from 1 species
AAGGAUUCCCUUAGUACGGGCGACGGAAGCGGGAAAAGCCCAGAGUGGUAAUCGCCGGCCAGAGGUCGGGGAAUUGUGAUCUGAAGGUCGUUGGUCUAACGGGGGACGGCGCAGAAGUGCUCGCGAGAGAGCCGCCAGAGAGGGUGAGAGCCCCGUAUGUGGUGUUGUGCCCUACCGGACCGGUGGCUGAAGAGUCGUGUACUUUGAUACUAGUGCACAAAGCGGGAGAUAAACUUCUUCUAAGGCUAAAUAUAUGUAGGAAACCGAUAGCGAACAAGUACUGUGAAGGAAAGAUGAAAAGCACUUUGGAAAGAAAGUUAAAAGACUUGAAAUCGUUGAGGCGGACCCGGUAGAAAUGUAUGAUGCGACGGAGCCGAGGAAGGCCGCAUAGCGGGCGACACGGCGACGGCGGAAAGGCAAGAUGGGGUCGUGCGGUGCCAGAGGUAGUUUUGGAGGGAGCUUGCUCCAGCCAAGGCUGACCGGGUGCCGGGCGGCUCGAGGGGCUUAGUGCGAUCUUGUCAAAAUGGUUUUUACCGACUCGUCUUGAAACACGAACCAAGGAGUCUAAGACUGACGCGAGUGUGGUGGUGGAAAAACCAACACGCGAAAUGAAAGUAAAUGAUGCCAAGCGCAAGCAGCAGCAUCGACCGACCAUUUUCUUCUGGAAGAGGUUUGAGUAAGAGCGUCAUUCUUAGGACCCGAAAGAUGGUGAAACUAU